UACAGAGGAACCAAGCGUUGUCCGGAUUGACUGGGCGUAAAGCGCACGCAGGCGGACGCGCGCGUGGGGUGUGAAAUCUGGCCGCUUAACGGCCAGGCGCCAUCCCAUACGGCGCGUCUGGAGCCUUGCAGAGGUCGGUGGAAUUGCCGGUGUAGUGGUGAAAUGCGUAGAGAUCGGCAGGAACACCCAGGGGGAAACCAGCCGACUGGGCAAGCGCUGACGCUGAGGUGCGAAAGCGUGGGGAGCAAACAGG
rnacentral:rRNA from 1 species